GGCGACAACAACAGAACACUUGCUUUGUUGACGUAAUAAGAUCGUGUAAAAAAACCCAAAGUGACGGUCUACUCAGUGUCCAAACCUGAGCCGAACAGGAAAACCACCC
rnacentral:lncRNA from 8 species